rnacentral:rRNA from 1 species
UACGUAGGGUCCGAGCGUUGUCCGGAGUUACUGGGCGUAAAGCGCGCGCAGGCGGCGGUGCUGGCCCGGCGUGAAAGCCCCCGGCUCAACCGGGGAGAGUCGUCGGGGACCGCACCGCUUGAGGGCGGUAGGGGCUGGUGGAAUGCCUGGUGUAGUGGUGAAAUGCGUAGAGAUCAGGCAGAACACCUGGGGCGAAGGCGGCCAGCUGGGCCGUCCCUGACGCUGAGGCGCGAAGGCGUGGGAGCGAACGGG